AAGGGGAGCAAUCCCUGAGUACAGUGGCGACCGGGUGAGUAACACGUGACUACCUGCCCUUGAGUGGGGGAUAACCUCGGGAAACCGAGGCUAAUACCGCAUAAUAUCGCAAGAUCAAAGGAGCAAUCCGCUUUUGGAGGGGGUCGCGGCUGAUUAGCUAGUUGGUGAGGUAAUGGCUCACCAAGGCGAAGAUCGGUAUCCGGCCUGAGAGGGCGCACGGACACACUGGAACUGAAACACGGUCCAGACUCCUACGGGAGGCAGCAGUGGGGAAUUUUGCGCAAUGGGGGAAACCCUGACGCAGCAACGCCGCGUGGAGGAUGAAGCUCCUUGGA
rnacentral:rRNA from 1 species